GGGGGUGUAGUCAAGGGGUAUGAUAAGCGAUCCGCAUUCGCCAGGCCCCGGUUCGAGUCCGGGUACCUCCA
rnacentral:tRNA from 1 species